rnacentral:rRNA from 1 species
CCUACGGGAGGCAGCAGUGGGGAAUCUUCCGCAAUUUGCUAAAGCCUGACUUAGCAACUCCUCUUGAUCUAAUUAAUUCCUUCGUUUUUUAAAUAUCUUUUGACAGGGACGAAUAAGCAAUGCGAAUAGUUUUGUGUAUGACGGUACCUGUUUAGAAAGCUCCGGCUAACUACGUGCCAGCAGCCGCGGUAAUACGUAGGGAGCAAGCGUUGUCCGGAUUUACUGGGCGUAAAGGGCGCGUAGGUGGGCGCUUAAGUCAGGUGUGAAAACUCCGGGCUCAACCUGGAGACUGCACUUGAAACUGGGUGUCUUGAGGGCAGGAGAGGAAAGUGGAAUUCCUAGUGUAGCGGUGAAAUGCGUAGAUAUUAGGAGGAACACCAGUGGCGAAGGCGACUUUCUGGACUGUACCUGACGCUGAGGCGCGAAAGCGUGGGUAGCGAACGGGAUUAGAUACCCGAGUAGUC